CUUGCCCACCUCCCGGCUACGCCCAUGCCCGUCAUCUCGGCCACCUCCCGGCGCCCCUGUCCCCACGGCCGCGACGUCCCCCGUCCUACCUCGCGCCGUCCCUCCAUCUCCCAUGUGCGCAACCAAACUGGUGCCGCACGCAUCUGCCCCACGUCCUUCCGGGCCGGCUGCUCCACCCGCCUCCAGCUAGCUACUCCAACCACGGCGCGGCGGCCGGAUCCAAUCUAUAUGGCAUGAUGGCGACCAAAUCGAUGACGGGAAAGAGACCCAGUGGUUCCCGCCGUCUCAACUAGGCAUGUCUCUUCCCCUCAUCCCCUCUCACGAGCACCUCGAUGUUGUCUCACGGAUCCAGCCCCUUCACAGCCGCCGGCCACCUGCAGCAAUCCCAGGAUUGACGGCGUCUCGCAGACUGCCGCACAGUCCUGCUCCAGUGGCCUCGAGCUGCAGCUCUGGCACAUGGUACAGGACGCGUCGCUGCUAUUCCCAUGCGGAUCCACUGAGUUGACGAUGUUGAAUCAGCUGUGGCUUCCGGACCAUUCAUGGAGUUAUGAAGGGCGUCCCCUUCCAUCGUGGAGAUGGUUUCAGUUACGCUACAAGGGAUUUCAUUUCUUCCUGAAAAAUUCUGCCAGUCCUUCCUGAUUUGCACGUGUUAAUGUAACGGUUGAAGAUAAGUUCUCUCUCAUCAUCCAUUGUGUAGGUUUAAGGACAUACAUAGGACAUGGCAGUUCUCUAAUGAGUAGCUAACUGAUCGCAUUUUUUUCUCGGUGCUCUUUUUUCCAGUUAGUAACAUACUGUCAGUGAUCAUUUGAUGUUGAUAUUUCAACCUCGCCCUUAAUUUAUCCCUUUGAUUCUCUCUUCCAGUGUAUGAUCUUCAGUGAGUCCUACUAGAAUGGAAGACGCUGCAAUAAUGUGUGAGUAAUGGAUGUUAGUUGCCUUUCUGAGAAACCACAGAAGCUCUCAGACCAGGCUGCAGGAGAAAAUGACUUGCCAUACUGACACCAUACAACACCAUGACGAUGGCCGAUGGACACCAAUAUGUUCAAAAACUCAACAGUGCUAUCUUGCAUUUGUACGAGCAUCUGUGCAUUAGGUUGGAAACUUCAAGUCUUAAGUUUGUUAAUGAGAGCAAUGCAAAAUUCUAAAGGGUCUGAUGUGUAAGCGAAACAGGUGUAUG